rfam:Larimichthys crocea isolate SSNF unplaced genomic scaffold scaffold597, whole genome shotgun sequence.
CCAAAGGCUCUUUUAAGGGCCACCACACCUUCUACCAAAGGGUUGU